rnacentral:rRNA from 1 species
GAUGAACGCUGGCGGCGUGCCUAAUACAUGCAAGUCGAGCGAACAGACGAGUAGCUUGCUCCUCUGACGUUAGCGGCGGACGGGUGAGUAACACGUGGAUAACCUACCUAUAAGACUGGGGUAACUUCUGGAAACCGGAGCUAAUACCGGAUAAUAUAUUGAACCGCAUGGUUCAAUAGUGAAAGACGGUCUUGCUGUCACUUAUAGAUGGAUCCGCGCCGCAUUAGCUAGUUGGUAAGGUAACGGCUUACCAAGGCAACGAUGCAUAGCCGACCUGAGAGGGUGAUCGGACACAAUGGAACUGAGACACGGUCCAGACUCCUACGGGAGGCAGCAGUAGGGAAUCUUCCGCAAUGGGCGAAAGCCUGACGGAGCAACGCCGCGUGAGUGAUGAAGGUCUUCGGAUCGUAAAACUCUGUUAUUAGGGAAGAACAAAUGUGUAAGUAACUGUGCACAUAUUGACGGUACCUAAUCAGAAAGCCACGGCUAACUACGUG